rnacentral:misc_RNA from 1 species
ACAGUAGGUGAUCUGCUGUUUCCUGGAUGUAAAGUGCCAGCAGAAAGUUAAUAAAUAAAGAGUGCAGCAUUGCAACAGAAAGUCAGCACCUCAAAUAAACAAAUUUUUUUUUUAAAAAAAACUCAGCACAAAAACAAGGCACUGAGGAGGGGGUAGAGAGUUAACAUCAAGCAACGGUGAUUACUGAGCCUAACAUGAGGGCAUUGGUGUGGUAGAAUCCCAGGUCAGGCACAUGGUAAGAAGAUCUGGCUUUAUAGUGAUAGUUUAGGUUCCAACCUUGUGAGGUGCCUUUUUAAGGGCACAGCUGUGAUGACCGAGAGUCCAAAGCAAACAAUCACUCACAUGUGCCGGGCCUAACAUUUACAUUUGGCAUCAAAGCCACCUCAGUGACAUUUCAUCACCUCUAACGAGGAUGUUAGAGAUCUUGUCAUGUGGGCGUUGGACUGUGCUGACUCCCACAUCGAGCGUAUGCUAAGGAUAUCUAGGCUUUAUAAUGAGGGUUUAGGUAGGUUAAAACAAUAACGCCAAAGGGCUAAAGCAGACAAUUCCUCACACGCGUUAAGCCUAAUCGUUAAGGGAGGGACCGCCCAGCCAUUGGACUGCACACAAAGGCAGGAGACGAAGAGAGAAAAUAUACUAACCGAUAAAGAGAAAUUGUGAAGCAAACAAAACAUACUUAGAAUACAUGAAAAAGAAGCACCAAAGUCUAAACCAUAUUAGAAAGCAGUGCUUUAUCUGCAAUUCUGGUCAAAACAUUCACAGAAAUGUGCCUUUGUGUUCAGUUUAAUACAAGUGCGUGUGUGUCAAUGUGCAAGUGUGUGUG